GACGAACGCUGGCGGCGUGCUUAACACAUGCAAGUCGAACGAAGUGGCGGACGGGUGAGUAACGCGUAAUCAACCUGCCCUUCAGGGUGGGACAACAGGUGGAAACGACUGCUAAUACCGCAUAAUGAAGGAGGGGAUUGCGUCUGAUUAGCUCGUUGGCGGGGUAACGGCCGACCAAGGCGAUGAUCCGGAUCCGGUCUGAGAGGAGGAACGGCCACAUUGGGACUGAGACACGGCCCAGACUCCUACGGGAGGCAGCAGUGGGGAAUCUUCCGAAAUGGACGAAAGUCUGACGGAGCAACGCCGCGUGAGUGAUGACGGCCUUCGGGUUGUAAAGCUCUGUUAAUCGGGACGCGGUACCGGAAUAGAAAGCCACGGCUAACUACGUGCCAGCAGCCGCGGUAAUUC
rnacentral:rRNA from 1 species